rnacentral:rRNA from 1 species
CCCCACACUGGUACUGAGACACGGACCAGACUCCUACGGGAGGCAGCAGUGAGGAAUAUUGGUCAAUGGGCGCUAGCCUGAACCAGCAUGCCGGUGCAGAAGACGGCCUACGGUGUAAACUGCUUUUCUGCAGGAAGAAUAUAUAGUCUUAGGGCUAUAUUGACGGUACUGCAGGAAUAAGCAUCGGCUAACUCCGUGCCAGCAGCCGCGGUAAUACGGAGGAUGCAAGCGUUAUCCGGAUUCAUUGGGUUUAAAGGGUGCGCAGGCUGUAAAGCAAGUCAGUGGUGAAAGACCUGGGCUUAACUCAGGGAUUGCCAUUGAAACUGUUUUACUAGAGUGUAGUAGAGGACGGCGGAAUGAGUUGUGUAGCGGUGAAAUGCAUAGAUAUAACUCAGAACACCUAUUGCGUAGGCAGCUGUCUAUACUACAACUGACGCUGAGGCACGAAAGCGUGGGGAGCGAACAGGAUUAGAUACCCUGGUAGUCCACGCUGUAAACGAUGAUCACUCGUUGUUGGCUACUUAGUAGUCAGUGACCAAGGGAAACCGAUAAGUGAUCCACCUGGGGAGUACGUCGGCAACGAUGAAACUCAAAGGAAUUGACGGGGGCCCGCACAAGCGGAGGAACAUGUGGUUUAAUUCGAUGAUACGCGAGGAACCUUACCUGGGCUUAAAUGCUGGCUGCAUUGGAGGGAAACCUUCAUUUCCUACGGGACCGCCAGCAAGGUGCUGCAUGGUUGUCGUCAGCUCGUGCCGUGAGGUGUCGGGUUAAGUCCCAUAACGAGCGCAACCCCUAUCGCUAGUUGCCAGCAUGUAAUGGUGGGGACUCUAGCGAGACUGCCGGUGUAAACCGGAGGAAGGUGGGGAUGACGUCAAAUCAGCACGGCCCUUACGUCCAGGGCUACACACGUGUUACAAUGGCCGGUACAAAGAGCAGCCACCUGGCGACAGGGCGCUAAUCUCUAAAACCGGUCUCAGUUCGGAUCGAAGUCUGCAAUUCGACUUCGUGAAGGUGGAUUCGCUAGUAAUCGCGCAUCAGCCAUGGCGCGGUGAAUAAGUUCCCGGGCCUUGUACACACCGCCCGUCAAGCCAUGGAAGUCGGG